UACGGAGGGUGCAAGCGUUGCUCGGAAUUAUUGGGCGUAAAGGGCAGGUAGGUGGUCUCAUUUGUCUGGGGUGAAAUCCUUGGGCUUAACUCAAGAAGUGCCCCAGAAACGGUGAGACUAGAGUACUGGAGAGGGUCGUGGAAUUCCCGGUGUAGCGGUGAAAUGCGUAGAGAUCGGGAGGAACACCAGAGGCGAAGGCGGCGACCUGGACAGUAACUGACACUCAACUGCGAAAGCGUGGGGAGCAAACAGG
rnacentral:rRNA from 1 species